rnacentral:misc_RNA from 1 species
GUGAAUCAUCGAAUCUUUGAACGCAAAUUGCACUCUCUGGCAUCCCGGAGAGUAUGCCUGUUUGAGGGUCAGUUAAAUAAAAAUAGGAGUGUCGCUUUCGUGAUGCAAAGGAGGUUGGGUAUUCUUUGCUUUAGGUUAAGAGUCUUAAAAUUGAUAGCUUUUUUGCGUGCUUUUAGACGUACAUAAUUUUUUUUAUUUGGCUAUUGUGGUGCUAAAUUGCACU